rnacentral:rRNA from 1 species
GUGUCGCCAGACGCAUUGCCCGGUAGCUAAGUUCGGAAUUGAUAAGCGCUGAAAGCAUCUAAGCGCGAAGCGAGCCCUGAGAUGAGUCUUCCCUGACAGUUUAACUGUCCUAAAGGGUUGUUCGAGACUAGAACGUUGAUAGGCAGGGUGUGUAAGCGUUGUGAGGCGUUGAGCUAACCUGUACUAAUUGCCCGUGAGGCUUAACCAU